GUGGGGCCGCGGAGCUACCAUGCAAGUCGGGCGGUAACAGGAAAGCGCUUGCGCUUUUGCUGACGAGCGGCGGACGGGUGAGUAAUGUCUGGGGAUCUGCCCGAGGGCGGGGGAUAACCACUGGAAACGGUGGCUAAUACCGCAUAAUGUCGCAAGACCAAAGUGGGGGACCUGAAAGGGCCUCACGCCGUCGGAUGAACCCAGAUGGGAUUAGCUGGUAGGUAGGGUAAUGGCCUACCUAGGCGACGAUCCCUAGCUGGUCUGAGAGGAUGACCAGCCACACUGGGACUGAGACACGGCCCAGACUCCUACGGGAGGCAGCAGUGGGGAAUAUUGCACAAUGGGCGCAAGCCUGAUGCAGCCAUGCCGCGUGUAUGAAGAAGGCCUUCGGGUUGUAAAGUACUUUCAGCGGGGAGGAAGGGUUGAGCCUGAACAGGGUUGGGCCUUGACGUUACCCGCAGAAGAAGCACCGGCUAACUCCGUGCCAGCAGCCGCGGUAAUACGGAGGGUGCAAGCGUUAAUCGGAAUGACUGGGCGUAAAGCGCACGCAGGCGGUCAAUUAAGUUAGAUGUGAAAUCCCCGGGCUCAACCUGGGAACGGCAUCUAAGACUGGUUGACUGGAGUCUCGUAGAGGGGGGUAGAAUUCCAUGUGUAGCGGUGAAAUGCGUAGAGAUGUGGGAGGAAUACCGGUGGCGAAGGCGGCCCCCCGGGAGAAGACUGACGCUCAGGUGCGAAAAGCGUGGGGGGGCAAACGGGAU
rnacentral:rRNA from 1 species